GACGAACGCUGGCGGCGUGCUUAACACAUGCAAGUCGAGCGACGCGCCUUCGGGUGACGGAGCGGCGAACGGGUGAGUAACACGUGGGCAACCUGCCCUCAGCUCUGGGACAACUCCGGGAAACCGGGGCUAAUACCGGAUACGACCAUUGCCGGCAUCGGGAGUGGUGGAAAGUUUUUCGGCUGAGGAUGGGCCCGCGGCCUAUCAGCUUGUUGGUGGGGUGAAGGCCUACCAAGGCGACGACGGGUAGCCGGCCUGAGAGGCGAUCGGCCACACUGGGACUGAGACACGGCCCAGACUCCUACGGGAGGCAGCAGUGGGAAUAUUGCGCAAUGGGCGAAAGCCUGACGCAGCGACGCCGCGUGGGGAUGAAGGCCUU
rnacentral:rRNA from 1 species